UUGUCCAAAAAAAUUUGCUCUCUCUUCUCCACAGCGAUAUGGGAAGAAGAAGAUCCAAUUAAUAAAUCGAUUGAGAGCGACGAGUGACAUUAAUAAUUCACAGUCUGUCUAUUCUUUUCUCUCCUCUUUCUUCAUAAACAUUUGAUAAUGGUGAAUCAAAACUUUGUCCAGAUAUUUUCUAUUAGAUUUUUUUUUAUUUUGAUAGAAAUUGUUUGCUUUGAAAUUUCACUUUGAAGGUUUUUUUUCAUUUCAUUUCAAUUCGUUUUUAUUUUAGGUUUUAAAAGAUUCAUUUUAAUUUUUUUAGGUUCUACUUUUGAUUUUGAAUGAACUGGUGCAAUCCGCUCCGAAAACUGACACAUUUGAUAAAAUUUUGAUAUAGGUUUUGGCUUUUGAGGACGAGUUAAUGUCGAAAUCUGUGUCGCUUUUGUUAUGAAGAAGCUAAUUUUGAUCCUGUUGUAUCCAUAGAGUUUGAGGGUUGUUCUUUUUCACGGAUAUUAAUCUGAAGAAGCGUAUUUUCUGGGAAUGGAAGUUACAUGUGUGAUUGGAAAUAUUAUCUCUCCAAGUAUAAAGAUGUUCUUCUUGCUGCAGCUUUACAACCUGUAGUAGGUUUGCUGAGAUGAUCGUUUGUAGAGUGAUACUAAAGAGAGGAUUGAGAAACCCAAGGAUUAAAAGGAAGCCAAGAUGGCCAAGUUAACGGCCGCGACGUUCAAGUCUCAAACCAAAGGGGGGCCUGUUCCUGGUUGUUACACUCUUGCUGUCCCAGAAACAUUACCAUAGGACUUGCAGGUUUUAUUUUUGUACCAAUUGUGGUGAAUAUGUGUUUUGUUUGAAUUUUAAAGUUCUAUCAUUUGCUUAACAA